GCACCCAAUGGACGGGAUUCCUGUAAAUCCUUCACAGUUUGUGACUCGAGUGCAGGUCUAAGAGUGAAGAGGGCGUGCAGCUCCACUUCAGACACACUCUGUGAGCCUCUGGAAGGUCACUACUGUACUGACCCAAUCAAAGAUGGCUGCCGAGGAGCUGUGCAACACACAAAGUGCUCACCAGGGCAGUACAUCAACCAGACAGGUACAGCAUCCACAGAUACUGUGUGUGGUGACUGUGUAGGCGACACAUACUCAAAUGGAUCAUUCACAUCCUGCAGACCACACACACGGUGUGAGUUGAUUGGACUUGUUGUCCUAAAAGAAGGAUCAUCUUCUUAUGACACUGAUUGUGGUCAAA